AGCCCUGUAGCGCAUUAGAUAGUGCGUUGGACUUCUAAUCCAAAGGUCAUGGGUUCGAAUCCCACCAGGGAAUAGCCUA